rnacentral:rRNA from 1 species
UACGGAGGGGGCUAGCGUUGUCCGAAGUUACUGGGCGUAAAGCGCGCGUAGGCGGGUUGGUAAGUCCGCUGUGAAAGCCCGGAGCUUAACUCCGGAGGGUCGGUGGAUACUGCCAGUCUUGAAGGUGCUAGGGGGAGAUGGAAUUACCGGUGUAGCGGUGAAAUGCGUAGAGAUCCGGAAGAACACCGGUGGCGAAGGCGGUCUGCUGGGCAGUUGCUGACACUGAGGCGCGACAGCGUGGGGAGCAAACAGG